rnacentral:tRNA from 1 species
GGGGCCGUAGCUCAGUUGGGAGAGCGCGUGAAUGGCAUUCACGAGGUCGCGGGUUCAAGUCCCGCCGGCUCCACCA